GUGGGGAAUUUUGGACAAUGGGCGAAAGCCUGAUCCAGCAAUGCCGCGUGUGUGAAGAAGGCCUUCGGGUUGUAAAGCACUUUUGGCAGGGAAGAAACAGUGCGUGCUAAUACCAUGCGCGAAUGACGGUACCUGCAGAAUAAGCACCGGCUAACUACGUGCCAGCAGCCGCGGUAAUACGUAGGGUGCAAGCGUUAAUCGGAAUUACUGGGCGUACAGCGUGCGCAGGCGGCUUUGUAAGACGGAUGUGAAAGCCCCGGGCUCAACCUGGGAAGUGCAUUCGUAACUGCAAGGCUAGAGUGUGUCAGAGGGAGGUGGAAUUCCGCGUGUAGCAGUGAAAUGCGUAGAGAUGCGGAGGAACACCGAUGGCGAAGGCAGCCUCCUGGGAUAACACUGACGCUCAGGCACGAAAGCGUGGGGAGCAAACAGGAUUAGAAACCCGGGUAGUCC
rnacentral:rRNA from 1 species